rnacentral:rRNA from 1 species
AGAGCUUGAUCAUGGCUCAGAUUGAACGCUGGCGGCAGGCCUAACACAUGCAAGUCGAACGGUAACAGGAAACAGCUUGCUGUUUCGCUGACGAGUGGCGGACGGGUGAGUAAUGUCUGAGAAACUGCCUGAUGGAGGGGGAUAACUACUGGAAACGGUAGCUAAUACCGCAUAACGUCGCAAGACCAAAGAGGGGGACCUUCGGGCCUCUUGCCAUCAGAUGUGCCCAGAUGGGAUUAGCUAGUAGGUGGGGUAACGGCUCACCUAGGCGACGAUCCCUAGCUGGUCUGAGAGGAUGACCAGCCACACUGGAACUGAGACACGGUCCAGACUCCUACGGGAGGCAGCAGUGGGGAAUAUUGCACAAUGGGCGCAAGCCUGAUGCAGCCAUGCCGCGUGUAUGAAGAAGGCCUUCGGGUUGUAAAGUACUUUCAGCGGGGAGGAAGGGAGUAAAGUUAAUACCUUUGCUCAUUGACGUUACCCGCAGAAGAAGCACCGGCUAACUCCGUGCCAGCAGCCGCGGUAAUACGGAGGGUGCAAGCGUUAAUCGGAAUUACUGGGCGUAAAGCGCACGCAGGCGGUUUGUUAAGUCAGAUGUGAAAUCCCCGGGCUCAACCUGGGAACUGCAUCUGAUACUGGCAAGCUUGAGUCUCGUAGAGGGGGGUAGAAUUCCAGGUGUAGCGGUGAAAUGCGUAGAGAUCUGGAGAAAUACCGGUGGCGAAGGCGGCCCCCUGGACGAAGACUGACGCUCAGGUGCGAAAGCGUGGGGAGCAAACAGGAUUAGAUACCCUGGUAGUCCACGCCGUAAACGAUGUCGACUUGGAGGUUGUGCCCUUGAGGCGUGGCUUCCGGAGCUAACGCGUUAAGUCGACCGCCUGGGGAGUACGGCCGCAAGGUUAAAACUCAAAUGAAUUGACGGGGGCCCGCACAAGCGGUGGAGCAUGUGGUUUAAUUCGAUGCAACGCGAAGAACCUUACCUGGUCUUGACAUCCACGGAAGUUUUCAGAGAUGAGAAUGUGCCUUCGGGAACCGUGAGACAGGUGCUGCAUGGCUGUCGUCAGCUCGUGUUGUGAAAUGUUGGGUUAAGUCCCGCAACGAGCGCAACCCUUAUCCUUUGUUGCCAGCGGUCCGGCCGGGAACUCAAAGGAGACUGCCAGUGAUAAACUGGAGGAAGGUGGGGAUGACGUCAAGUCAUCAUGGCCCUUACGACCAGGGCUACACACGUGCUACAAUGGCGCAUACAAAGAGAAGCGACCUCACGAGAGCAAGCGGACCUCAUAAAGUGCGUCGUAGUCCGGAUUGGAGUCUGCAACUCGACUCCAUGAAGUCGGAAUCGCUAGUAAUCGUGGAUCAGAAUGCCACGGUGAAUACGUUCCCGGGCCUUGUACACACCGCCCGUCACACCAUGGGAGUGGGUUGCAAAAGAAGCAGGUAGCUUAACCUUCGGGAGGGCGCUUACCACUUUGUGAUUCAUGACUGGGGUGAAGUCGGAACAAGGUAACCGUAGGGGAACCUGCGGUUG